UUUAACAAAUAAUGUGCGCGUCGUUUUUACGAGCGACGUGCGCACGUUGAUGAGCUUUUCCGAAAAAACCAGGUUUUUUUGGUGGCGCAUAAUGAACAGCGUGGGCUUUUUCUUCGAUUCUCGUGUAGUAAAUCUUCAACGCUUGGGUUGAGAAAAAGUGCGUGCCGCGCAAUGGGUGUGGCGAAUUUACCCCUGCCCCAAUGCCACUCUUUCCCUGCGAAAGAACAAUCUUUUAU
rnacentral:misc_RNA from 1 species